GAUGAACGCUGGCGGCGUGCCUAAUGCAUGCAAGUCGAGCGAACAGACGAGGAGCUUGCUGCUCUGACGUUUGCGGCGGACGGGUGAGUAACACGUGGAUAAACUGCCUAUAAGUCUGGGCUCACUUCGGGAAACCGGAGCUAAUACCGGAUAAUAUAUUGAACCGUAUGGUUUAAUAGUGAAAGACGGGUUUGCUCUCACUUAUAGAUGGAUCCGCGCCGCAUUUGUUAGUUGGUAAGGUAACGGCUUACCCAGGCAACGAUGCGUAGCCGACCUGAGAGGGUGAUCGGCCACACUGGAACUGAGACACGGUCCAGACUCCUACGGGAGGCAGCAGUAGGGAAUCUUCCGCAAUGGGCGAAAGCCUGACGGAGCAACGCCGCGUGAGUGAUGAAGGUCUUCGGAUCGUAAAACUCUGUUAUUAGGGAAGAACAAAUGUGUAAGUAACUAUGCACGUCUUGACGGUACCUAAUCAGAAAGCCACGGCUAACUACGUG
rnacentral:rRNA from 1 species